GGGCGCAGGCCGAAGCGCGGCGGGCCGUGGUGCGGCGCGAACAGGCGCAGCCAGUCGGCCGAGCGGUCGGCCGCGUCCUGCACGCCGCCCGGGAAGACUGCUUAGGGGUGUACGUGACCCGCGUGGUAGAAAUGCAGUGCAGCUUUGCCACCAGGCCUGGUGACACCUACGCCACCAAACGACCAAGAACUAAGACUUAAUCCCUUGGACGGCGGGUGAACACGGAAGUAUGUUCUCCUUGGCAGAGAAGGUCCAAAGGCAUUGUUUUCUAAAGGUGCAAAUCCCAGUAUUAGCUGUAUCCCAGAAACAAACAAAAACGGGGCCACAUACUGAGAAAAGCGCACAUAUGGAGGCCAAGAGAGGGCGUAUAUCCAGUGAGAGGGUUUCCUGACUCUCAUCUACCUUGAGCCUGCAGAAUCCACGGGAACCCCUUUCUGAACUGCUUCCUAAAUGCAGUUGGCUCUCUGCUCGGAGAACAUCAUUUCAGAAUCUGUUGCAGAGUCUGGAGUGGCACCCUGGAGCAUGUAUUUUCACAGUCCCCAACUCCCCGGGUGAUUCUGGUGCCGUGAGCCAUGGGAAGCUGUGGAAGGUGGUGAAAUGAUUGAGUUCAUGUCCUUAAAGGUAACCCUAACAGCGGCACGGUGACUCGAUUGGAUGGCGCUGGACUGGAGACUCCCGGACUGUGCUAGGCAAGAACUGAUGAAGGCCUAAACUAAGAGAGUGGCCAUGGAGAGAGGAUGAGGUGGGAGAAAGGAAUGAUUUACAGAGUAUUUAGGAGGUAGACUUGAUGUAAUGUGGUAAUUGGUUCAAUACGCAGAGCAAGGGACAGGAAGGAGUUAAGUUCUAGCUUGGGAGAUUCAGGUAAUAGUUAUACAAUCCUAGAAGUUGUAAUAAUAAUGAUAUUAAGCAUGGGCUGUGUGUGAGGCAUUAGGAACUCUAAGUAUUAGCUGUAUAAUCCUCAUAAAGCCUUACAAGGUGGAAAUAGUUACGCCCUUUUACAGAAGAGAAACUAUUCAGGGAGGGGUUAAGUCUCUUAAAAUGGGAUACACUAGUCUCUUCACUGUAGAAUGACACCAUUGUUCUGUAGCUAAAAAUGUCUAUUUUGAUAUCAGCUAGUUUUCCCAAAGGCUGGUCACCCCUGAGUGAGAUGACCAGGUGCUAGAGCGUGUAGCAAACUUUGGUGGGGUCUUAACCAACACAGCACAAUCUCGAGAGCCGCACACUGCCAUGUCGGCCCUAGGGGGCUCUGUGGUGAUGCAGUACCAGUUUAUGUAUGUAUCUGCAGGGGACAUUCUGUGACCUCAGUUAUCUGAACUGUAGCCAAGAGCAAGAACAGAAGCAAACAAUAAACCCUGGAAUAGCAGGAGGGAUGCAAAUAUCACAUUCAGAUCUAAUGUGCUCUGCUCAGAGGGAAAAUUAAUUUGCAGACAUAUUAAUCUAUUGCUCUUGACUAAUUCCUCUGAAACCCGAUGGCUUACAAUGAUGAACACUAUCUCACAGUUUCUGUGGCUCCUGUGGUUCAGGAGAGCAUCUUAGCCGGGUGGUUCUGACUCCGUGUCUCCCAUGAGAUUGUGAUCAGCCUAUCAGCCGGGCCUUGACUGGGCCUGAAAGAUCCGUUUUCACAACGGCCGACUCCUAUGGCUGUUGGCUGGGGGCCUCAGUUCAUCUCUACACUGGUGUCGCCAUAGGGCAUUUGAAUGUCUUUGAGAUUGGGCAGUUGACUUUCUCCAGAGAGAGUGGUCCAAGAAAGAGGGAGAGAGAAGCCAUGAUGCCUCUUAGGACUUAGCCUGAGAAGUCACCUGCCAUUUCCACAGUAUCCUAUUUUUCCACUAGUCUUCUCUCUUCAACCUGGACGGUCACUACACUAAAACACCAGGACGUGGGGAAUCAUUGGGGGUCCUCUUGGAGGCUGUAGUCACAGCGGAUUAAAAAAAAAUGAAAAAAGGGGAUCCCUGGGUGGCGCAGCGGUUUAGCGCCUGCCUUUGGCCCAGGGCGCGAUCCUGGAGACCCGGGAUCGAAUCCCACAUCGGGCUCCCGGUGCAUGGAGC